CGAAUGCUGACAUAAGUAACGAUAAAGCGGGUGAAAAGCCCGCUCGCCGGAAGACCAAGGGUUCCUGUCCAACGUUAAUCGGGGCAGGGUGAGUCGACCCCUAAGGCGAGGCCGAAAGGCGUAGUCGAUGGGAAACAGGUUAAUAUUCCUGUACUUGGUGUUACUGCGAAGGGGGGACGGAGAAGGCUAUGUUGGCCGGGCGACGGUUGUCCCGGUUUAAGCGUGUAGGCUGGUUUUCCAGGCAAAUCCGGAAAAUCAAGGCUGAGGCGUGAUGACGAGGCACUACGGUGCUGAAGCAACAAAUGCCCUGCUUCCAGGAAAAGCCUCUAAGCAUCAGGUAACAUCAAAUCGUACCCCAAACCGACACAGGUGGUCAGGUAGAGAAUACCAAGGCGCUUGAGAGAACUCGGGUGAAGGAACUAGGCAAAAUGGUGCCGUAACUUCGGGAGAAGGCACGCUGAUAUGUAGGUGAAGCGACUUGCUCGUGGAGCUGAAAUCAGUCGAAGAUACCAGCUGGCUGCAACUGUUUAUUAAAAACACAGCACUGUGCAAACACGAAAGUGGACGUAUACGGUGUGACGCCUGCCCGGUGCCGGAAGGUUAAUUGAUGGGGUCAGCGCAAGCGAAGCUCUUGAUCGAAGCCCCGGUAAACGGCGGCCGUAACUAUAACGGUCCUAAGGUAGCGAAAUUCCUUGUCGGGUAAGUUCCGACCUGCACGAAUGGCGUAAUGAUGGCCAGGCUGUCUCCACCCGAGACUCAGUGAAAUUGAACUCGCUGUGAAGAUGCAGUGUACCCGCGGCAAGACGGAAAGACCCCGUGAACCUUUACUAUAGCUUGACACUGAACAUUGAGCCUUGAUGUGUAGGAUAGGUGGGAGGCUUUGAAGUGUGGACGCCAGUCUGCAUGGAGCCGACCUUGAAAUACCACCCUUUAAUGUUUGAUGUUCUAACGUUGACCCGUAAUCCGGGUUGCGGACAGUGUCUGGUGGGUAGUUUGACUGGGGCGGUCUCCUCCUAAAGAGUAACGGAGGAGCACGAAGGUUGGCUAAUCCUGGUCGGACAUCAGGAGGUUAGUGCAAUGGCAUAAGCCAGCUUGACUGCGAGCGUGACGGCGCGAGCAGGUGCGAAAGCAGGUCAUAGUGAUCCGGUGGUUCUG
rnacentral:rRNA from 1 species